UUUAAAUUGAGAGUUUGAUCCUGGCUCAGGACGAACGCUGGCGGCGUGCCUAAUACAUGCAAGUCGAACGAAACUUUCUUACACCGAAUGCUUGCAUUCACCGUAAGAAGUUGAGUGGCGGACGGG
rnacentral:rRNA from 1 species